AAGUCGUAACAAGGUUUCCGUAGGUGAACCUGCGGAAGGAUCAUUAAAGAGACGUUGCCCUUCGGGGUAUACCUCCCACCCUUUGUUUAUUAUACCAUUGUUGCUUUGGCAGGCCCGUCCUUCGGGACCCCCGGCUCCGGCUGGGCCGCGCCUGCCAGAGGACCCUAAACUCUGUUUGUUAAUGUCGUCUGAGUACUAUAUAAUAGUUAAAACUUUCAACAACGGAUCUCUUGGUUCUG
rnacentral:misc_RNA from 1 species